AGAUUGAACGCUGGCGGCAUGCCUAACACAUGCAAGUCGAACGGGAGUAGCAAUACUCUAGUGGCGGACGGGUGAGGAAUACGUAGGAAUUUGCCCUUAAGUGGGGGAUAACCCGGGGAAACCCGGAUUAAUACCGCAUGACCUCGAAAGAGCAAAGUGGGGGAUCGCAAGACCUCACGCUUUUGGAGAAGCCUACGUCGGAUUAGCUAGUUGGUGAGGUAAUGGCUCACCAAGGCGACGAUCCGUAACUGGUCUGAGAGGAUGAUCAGUCACACCGGAACUGAGACACGGUCCGGACUCCUACGGGAGGCAGCAGUGGGGAAUAUUGGACAAUGGGCGCAAGCCUGAUCCAGCAAUGCCGCGUGUGUGAAGGAAGCCGUUCGGUUGUAAAGCACUUUAAGUUAGGGAAAGAAAAACUACGUACUACUUAACCGAACACGUAG
rnacentral:rRNA from 1 species